AGUGAACGCUGGCGGUAGGCCUAACACAUGCAAGUCGAACGGCAGCACAGAGGAGCUUGCUCCUUGGGUGGCGAGUGGCGGACGGGUGAGGAAUACAUCGGAAUCUACUCUGUCGUGGGGGAUAACGUAGGGAAACUUACGCUAAUACCGCAUACGACCUACGGGUGAAAGCAGGGGACCUUCGGGCCUUGCGCGAUUGAAUGAGCCGAUGUCGGGUUAGCUAGUUGGCGGGGUAAAGGCCCACCAAGGCGACGAUCCGUAGCUGGUCUGAGAGGAUGAUCAGCAAGACUGGAACUGGGACACGGUCCAGACUCCUACGGGGGGCAGCGGUGGGGAAUAUUGGACAAUGGGCGCAAGCCUGAUCCAGCCAUACCGCGUGGGUGAAGAAGGCCUUCGGGUUGUAAAGCCCUUUUGUUGGGAAAGAAAUCCAGCUGGCUAAUACCCGGUUGGGAUGACGGUACCAAAGAAUAAGCACCGGCUAACUUCGUGCCAGCCGCCGCGGUAA
rnacentral:rRNA from 1 species